CCUCAGAACAUCUUUCUUUUCCACACUACUUUAUUUUCAUUUUUUGCAGUUCCUACAGCUCAGGGCUUUGUCACAACUUGCAAGCUCACACCUGGAUGCUGGUCAGAUGAGGGGACUGGAAAAUGAAAAAGAAAAGUCCAUGGAGUAGUUCCCAAACAUAGCAUCUUGAGCUGCCAUAUAGACACUGGAAAAGCCCCUAAGGUGUUUCUCUUCAUCUCUCAUCUGACUCUCUACAGCUUCUCCUCAAAGUCUGCAACACUGACCUAUGGCAAUUGACUGUCCUAAGCCAGGACACUGAAGUUAAUAGCAACACUUAAAGUGGACACCUACACAUGCAUAUCUGAGGAAUGGACUGAGAAUUCCUCCCUUCUCCUCCAAGUGGUGCAUCUGCUUUCUCCUGGUUCCACCUACUGGCUGAACUAUUUAGUCAGCCUUGAGCAGAAACAUCAGUAGAGCCAAUUCUACGUACAACGUACAGAUCCAAAUGUUCUCACUCAAAGCUCUUUGAAAAUCACCCCAGGAGACUCAGAUUGAGAGAGCUGCAUCAUCCCCUUAACAACCUGAUGCAACACUGUUUGCAGGAGAACGCAGGGGCUGGAGCUUAAUAAAGAAGUUAAAAUGAAUUAUAUAUACGUAUGUAUGUAUGUUUGUAUAUAAAAAGAAUGUAUGUAAUGAGGCAAUAUCCAUCUCUGAGUACCAUCACUGGGAAAGCACAGAGAUUGCUUAGUGUAAACCCAACAGAAAAAGAGCUUGACAGCUCAGUGCAUAAUGCUGAUUUUUCACCACAUUUAGGAUCUAGAAUUACCUUUCAAUUCCGCAGUUAAAAAGGGAGUAGUAUUGUGUAGA